rnacentral:snRNA from 1 species
AUGAAUGACUCAUUCGCUUGUU